UACGGAGGGUGCAAGCGUUAUCCGGAUUUACUGGGUUUAAAGGGUGCGUAGGUGGGUAGGUAAGUCAGUGGUGAAAUCUUCAAGCUUAACUUGGAAACUGCCAUUGAUACUAUUUAUCUUGAAUACUUUGGAGGUAAGCGGAAUAUGUCAUGUAGCGGUGAAAUGCUUAGAUAUGAACAUAGAACACCGAUUGCGAAGGCAGCUCGCUACUGCCUAUAUUGACUCUGAGGCACGAAAGCGUGGGGAUCAAACAGGAUUA
rnacentral:rRNA from 1 species